UCUGUGGUGAAGAGACAGCAGCAACAAACAAAAGAAAACUAACAGAGAGCAGACGUGUUCUAGUUGCUUCUUUGGAAAUAACGGGACACUGGUGCUGCGUCAAAGGAUGCAAUAGUAAUUCUAAACAGAAAACAGCAGAUGGGGCCUUACGGUUUUUCGUAUUCCCCACUUGGAAAAAAAAAUACGGACCGCAGACAGAGGACUUAACAAAGAGGCGUCGGGCUCCGUGGGUCGCUGCUGUAAGAAGGAAAGACAUCACGUUUCAUAAAAUAUCUCCUCAUGUUCGUGUUUGCUCUCGGCAUUUUCACAAAGGUCAACCCGCAUAUGAGAUGAUGGAGACUGACCCAGACUGGGCUCCAUCCCUGCAUCUGGGCCACACUGACAUCAGACCAACAGACACAGACCGCUCUUUAAGACGUGGUUAUCGGGAACAGCUGAAAAAGAAUACCCUGCAAGCAACUUAAACGGGGCUCCAUCAGGCUGAUGAAAUCCUUCAGCGACAGGAUGAAGUUACACAUGAGGCGACAGAGAACCCUAACCAGCAACAGACUGACACGCAGAAGACUGCUGAAAACGUUGGCCGGCCAAACACCAAGGAUGACAGAAGGUGGUCGUCAGGAAGGACAGACAGAAUGUAACCUGUGUGUGCUCAGGUGUGCAGAGAUGAACCGUCUUUUGGAAGAAAACAGAGAGCUGCGGCGUGAACUUGAUGAGCUGCAGAUCUCUGAUUGCUUCUUUGGAGAGAGUAAUAAAAAGUCAAGUACUAUACGGGUCUACCAAACUUGGCAACCUUUAUGGCUUUGUUUAAUUUUCUGCUGCCUCUCAUGUCUGCUCAAAAUAAAAUUCUCAGUCCAUUUCAAA